GAUGAACGCUGGCGGCGUGCCUAAUACAUGCAAGUCGAGCGAACGGACGAGAAGCUUGCUUCUCUGAUGUUAGCGGCGGACGGGUGAGUAACACGUGGAUAACCUACCUAUAAGACUGGGAUAACUUCGGGAAACCGGAGCUAAUACCGGAUGAUAUUUUGAACCGCAUGGUUCAAAAGUGAAAGACGGUCUUGCUGUCACUUAUAGAUGGAUCCGCGCUGCAUUAGCUAGUUGGUAAGGUAACGGCUUACCAAGGCAACGAUGCAUAGCCGACCUGAGAGGGUGAUCGGCCACACUGGAACUGAGACACGGUCCAGACUCCUACGGGAGGCAGCAGUAGGGAAUCUUCCGCAAUGGGCGAAAGCCUGACGGAGCAACGCCGCGUGAGUGAGGAAGGUCUUCGGAUCGUAAAACUCUGUUAUUAGGGAAGAACAUAUGUGUAAGUAACUGUGCACAUCUUGACGGUACCUAAGCAGAAAGCCACGGCUAACUACGU
rnacentral:rRNA from 1 species